CGGCAACCUGGAGGUGCUGUAAACAUCCUUGACUGGAAGCUGUGGUUUUGGACGUCAAGGGCUUUCAGUCGGAUGUUUGCAGCAUCUUAUUGCCUC
rnacentral:pre_miRNA from 1 species